GAGAACGCGAGUCACCGGUGCGAAAUAUCUAAAUUUUUAAGGAGAAGAGCCACGAGUGACACGUGGAGGAGUCCCAGAGGCUUAGUGGUAUAGAUCCACUGUCUCUUUUGGGUAUUUAAUUUAUGAUUUAUAAUGUGUUAUAUUGCCAAUAUUAGGACUUUUUUUAUGUUUAUUGUCAAUUAUAUGAAUAUAUAAAUGUAAUCAUGCCUUUCAAACUAUUUCUAUUUUUGGUACAAUUUGGAUGACUGUAAUUUUAAUAUUUGGUUUACUUUGGAUUGGUUAAAAUGGCAUGAUUAUAAGGCCAAAUAACUGGCUUGUGUUGAAAAUUGACUAAA